rnacentral:lncRNA from 1 species
UCGACUUUAGUACUAUUAUGGACCGAAACCAUCUUCCAGGUCUGUAAUUAGUAAUAGCAGAAGAUAAAUUGGAGUUGGAAAUAAUUAUAGAUUCAUAUCUUCUACCAGUUGCUCACCCUCCUUCCACCACCGCCGCUGCCGCCCCUUUCUCGACUGCCGGAGCGCUGCUGCUGUUGGUCUUUUCUCUCAUCGCGGCCGCAAUUCACAACACCAUUUUCUUGUUUCUUGCACCUACUGGACUUGCAAACCUGAGUUUUGGAUCUAAAUGGCGGAGAGGAUAGCAGAGACAAAGCGUCGGUGAAUAAGCAUAUUCCCGUGAUGACAAUGGCGCCGGCGAUGGUGAUGAUUUGUAGGAGUAGGCGGCUGAUUUGGG